rnacentral:rRNA from 1 species
GUGGGGAAUUUUGGACAAUGGGCGCAAGCCUGAUCCAGCAAUGCCGCGUGCAGGAAGAAGGCCCUCAGGGUUGUAAACGGCUUUUGACGGUGAAGAACCGACAGGAUGCGUCCUGUUUUGACGGUAGCCGUUGAAUAAGCACCGGCUAACUCCGUGCCAGCAGCCGCGGUAAUACGUAGGGUGCGAGCGUUAAUCGGAAUUACUGGGCGUAAAGCGUGCGCAGGCGGUUAUGUAAGACAGAUGUGAAAUCCCCGGGCUCAACCUGGGAACUGCAUUUGUGACUGCAUAGCUAGAGUACGGUAGAGGGGGAUGGAAUUCCGCGUGUAGCAGUGAAAUGCGUAGAUAUGCGGAGGAACACCGAUGGCGAAGGCAAUCCCCUGGACCUGUACUGACGCUCAUGCACGAAAGCGUGGGGAGCAAACAGGAUUAGAUACCCUAGUAGUCC